rnacentral:rRNA from 1 species
CCUACGGGAGGCAGCAGUAGGGAAUCUUCCACAAUGGACGAAAGUCUGAUGGAGCAACGCCGCGUGAGUGAAGAAGGAUUUCGGUUCGUAAAACUCUGUUGCAAGGGAAGAACAAGUAGCGUAGUAACUGGCGCUACCUGACGGUACCCUGAGAGAAUC